UGGGGAAUUUUGGACAAUGGGCGAAAGCCUGAUCCAGCAAUGCCGCGUGUGUGAAGAAGGCCUUCGGGUUGUAAAGCACUUUUGUCCGGAAAGAAAUCCUCUGGGUUAAUACCUCGGGGGGAUGACGGUACCGGAAGAAUAAGCACCGGCUAACUACGUGCCAGCAGCCGCGGUAAUACGUAGGGUGCAAGCGUUAAUCGGAAUUACUGGGCGUAAAGCGUGCGCAGGCGGUUUUGUAAGACGGAUGUGAAAUCCCCGGGCUUAACCUGGGAACUGCAUUCGUGACUGCAAGGCUAGAGUAUGGCAGAGGGGGGUAGAAUUCCACGUGUAGCAGUGAAAUGCGUAGAGAUGUGGAGGAAUACCGAUGGCGAAGGCAGCCCCCUGGGCCAAUACUGACGCUCAUGCACGAAAGCGUGGGGAGCAAACAGGAUUAGAUACCCUGGUAGUCCACGCCCUAAACGAUGUCAACUAGUUGUUGGGGAUUCAUUUCCUUAGUAACGCAGCUAACGCGUGAAGUUGACCGCCUGGGGAGUACGGUCGCAAGAUUAAAACUUAAAUGAAUUGAC
rnacentral:rRNA from 1 species